UUUUCAGGUGUGCAUGAUGCAAGUUCUUGGAUUGUGUGUAGUCUGUGAAAUUCACAUUUAUUCUAGGGAUCAGAACUUCCUUGCUGUCCCUGAGAACAGACAAUAAUGGAAUUGAAAGCAGUUAUUUGCCCUACUUUAAUAAAGAAAAGAAGAAUUCAGCAUACAAUAGAUUCUUUUACCAAUGUGCCCCCUGGAAAAGGCUACUGGACACAAAUAUUAGCAUUAACAUAUGUGUACUUUAAUUUAGGACAAGUGAGUCAGAGAGGGAUUGUGACAUAGUGUAGAUUGCUGACACUUGUUGGAAGGAUACCUUUCAGUUACCUACAAUUCUACCAACUGGAAAAAUCAGUACUAAUGCCACUUGUGUUACUGGACUAUUAGUCGAGGAUGGAGUUCUUUAUUGAAACAGUUCUCAAGUACUGACUAACAGCUCGACUUCAUGAAUUUUACAAAACAGUGCUCAAGUAUUGACUUUCAUCGUAAUGGACUCCACAAAACGGUACUCUAGUACAGACUGUAUCUCUCCAUACCGAACUUCCUUUUU